GCGCGGAUGGCGGAAUUGGUAUACGCGCAAGACUAAGGAUCUUGUGGGGCAACCCUUGGAGGUUCGAGUCCUCUUCCGCGCACCA
rnacentral:tRNA from 1 species